rnacentral:lncRNA from 1 species
AUCAGGAACUGUCAACCAACGUUAUGGACCAGUGAAACGCACACCUUGACUGGUGCAUUAAACUUGUAAAUUUUAUGUUUCGCUCACACAGAGAUCCGUGCGGUAACCUGACACCGCAGUGUAGCAAUUAUAUCUACCGAGGCAGUCUGAAGGGCAAUUUGCAGUAAUUUCUGAUAAAACAGGCGAUAAUAUGUUUUAUGAACCCCAUCUGUCCCUAAUUUAUGUCAACAGAGAAAGUUAAUUCAAUGCGGAAUAUUUCACAUGCCGGUUAAGACAAUGGGAAAGGCUUUACUUGGAAAAGUGGUUGUUAAAGGGUAUGUGUAUCCAAUAAUGAAUCCAUACCGUCUGUUUGGAAGUGCUGACGGCUGUGAUAUAUAGUGAAAGACACAAUUCCGACGCAUUUUCAAAUAGAGUUUAAUUCUGAGAAGCAGGUACAUGUUUGCUCAGUUUUCAACAAUAUACAGAUCUAGUGUUAAAAAUGUUUUACUAUACUAGUACCAAGUUGUGAUUAUAACAGACGCGCGCUUUAAUUACCAUUUUAUUAAUGACACACUGCCUGCUAUUAACAGAUGAUUGAUUUUUUAUAAAGUUACCAUUGCGGCAUUCCACAUACCUGCGUUAAGCAAAACUGACUAUUGAAGGCGUAUUUUAUCUUCUUUAAAAAAAA